GAAUGCUGACAUAAGUAACGAUAAAGCGGGUGAAAAGCCCGCUCGCCGGAAGACCAAGGGUUCCUGUCCAACGUUAAUCGGGGCAGGGUGAGUCGACCCCUAAGGCGAGGCCGAAAGGCGUAGUCGAUGGGAAACGGGUUAAUAUUCCCGUACUUGGUGUUACUGCGAAGGGGGGACGGAGAAGGCUAUGUUGGCCGGGCGACGGUUGUCCCGGUUUAAGCGUGUAGGUGUGUGUUCCAGGUAAAUCCGGUUCACUUUAACACUGAGGCGUGAUGACGAGGCACUACGGUGCUGAAGCAACAAAUGCCCUGCUUCCAGGAAAAGCCUCUAAGCAUCAGGUAACAUCAAAUCGUACCCCAAACCGACACAGGUGGUCAGGUAGAGAAUACCAAGGCGCUUGAGAGAACUCGGGUGAAGGAACUAGGCAAAAUGGUGCCGUAACUUCGGGAGAAGGCACGCUGACACGUAGGUGAAGUGAUUUACUCAUGGAGCUGAAGUCAGUCGAAGAUACC
rnacentral:rRNA from 1 species